GGUCUUUAGGGUUGUGCUGCAGCUCCAAGUGCUUCUGCUGUGUUGUGUGGUCAGGUUGAAGCAUUUGAGAAAUUUAGUGACUUGUUUCUUCUAAAGCAAAAGUACUGAUUCAGGACCUGGUAGAGCCAAUCUUAUCUUCUCUUUUGGCACUGUAGCAACAGUAAGAGCUAUGAACUCCUAUUAAAUAUGAGCGCAGGGGCAAGGGCUGGAUUUGGAUCAGAAAUGUGUUUCCGUAUUGCUCUAGCAGCUCUAUUUCAAAUGAUUCAAAAGUGAACAAACUAGCUAAGGCCUUUUAAAUAAGGAGCAACAGCAGUGCCUACAGUUCAGGGUUUGUUCCCUCUCUGAAGCUCUUCCAGAGGGCUCAUUCUGCACCUACUUCCAUGAAGACUGUGCCUUAGGGCAGCCUCAACCUGGAGAAGUCGGCAUCCAGAAAGCGCCUGCCCUGGCUGCGGGCACGGACCAUUUUCUCGUGCCGAGAUCUAUCUCUUGUGCUCGGCUCCCCCCCGGCCCGGGAAAAGGCGGCACAUUGAGAUGUUGGUGCUGCCGGCCGGUCGCAGGCAGGACCUCGAUGACAAUGACAGCAGCCGCUUUCC